CAGCAGUAGCCGCGGUAAUACGAAGGGUGCAAGCGUUACUCGGAAUUACUGGGCGUAAAGCGUGCGUAGGUGGUGGUUUAAGUCCGUUGUGAAAGCCCUGGGCUCAACCUGGGAAUUGCAGUGGAUACUGGGUCACUAGAGUGUGGUAGAGGAUAGUGGAAUUUCCGGUGUAGCAGUGAAAUGCGUAGAGAUCGGAAGGAACAUCUGUGGCGAAGGCGACUAUCUGGGCCAACACUGACACUGAGGCACGAAAGCGUGGGGAGCAAACAGGAUUAGAUACCCCUGUAGUCCCUGUCUCUUAUAC
rnacentral:rRNA from 1 species